GGCUAACGCUGGCGGCGUGUCUUAGCCAUGCAAGUCGAGCGGACUUAUGGGGUAACUUAUAAGUCAGCGGCGGACGGCGGAGUAACACGUAGCUAACCUACCCUCUGGAUGGGGAUAACCUACCGAAAGGUGGGCUAAUACCCGAUGUAGUCAUCCUGUAUAGGGGUGAUGAAAGGUGGGCUUCUGUUUACAAGCUCAUGCUGGAGGAGGGGGCUGCGGCCUAUCAGGUAGUUGGUAGGGUAAUAGCCUACCAAGCCGAUGACGGGUAGCCGGCCUGAGAGGGUGACCGGCCCGAGGGGCACUGAGAUACGGGUCCCACUCCUACGGGAGGCAGCAGGCUAGAAAUUUGGGCAAUGGGGGAAACCCUGACCCAGUGACGCCGCGUGCAGGAAGGAGCCCUUCGGGGUGUAAACUGCUGUCGUGUAGGGAGAAGGGUACUAAGGUGAACAAUCUUAGUACUUGACGGUACUACAGGAGGAAGCCCAGGCUAACCUCGUG
rnacentral:rRNA from 1 species